rnacentral:lncRNA from 1 species
AAAACAGCAAGGUUAGUUAACCAAAGUAACUUGUAUCUCAUGGAAUAAGAUCACAUCAUCCAUUAGGACUAAUUGCUUGAACCUGAAAUGCAAAACUCAAAAGGUGAGUACAAACCACUAGUCCAAAGACUAGGGUCAAAAGCAAAGCAAAAAGUCAAAACAGCAGCCAAUAUUCAACAUGAAGCAUACUUAAUCAAGUAAGAACAUGUCCCAAAAAGGACCAAAUCCAAAUCACAAGGCAAGGCCAACAAU